GCUGGUGUGGCUUAGUGGAUAGAGCAUCAGCCUGCGGACUGAAAGGUCCCAGGUUCGAUUCCGGUCAAGGGCA
rnacentral:tRNA from 1 species